UCAUCUAUUCUUACUUUUCAAGGAACGGAUUUUGUUAACUAAAUGAUUCACACCCUUGAAGAAACACGAUCUCGUGUGAAUCAUUUCGUUAACAAAAUCCGUCUUUGAAGAGUAAGUAUAUUGUGA